rnacentral:rRNA from 1 species
UACGUAGGGUGCGAGCGUUAAUCGGAAUUACUGGGCGUAAAGCGUGCGCAGGCGGUUCGUUGUGUCUGAUGUGAAAGCCCCGGGCUCAACCUGGGAAUGGCAUUGGAAACUGGCGAGCUAGAGUGUGGCAGAGGGGGGUGGAAUUCCUGGUGUAGCGGUGAAAUGCGUAGAGAUCAGGAGGAACACCCGUGGCGAAGGCGGCCCUCUGGCUCGACCCUGACGCUGAGGCGCGAAAGCGUGGGGAGCGAACGGG